rnacentral:rRNA from 1 species
GACAAACUCCGAAUGCCAAUUAAUUUAACUUGGGAGUCAGAACAUGGGUGAUAAGGUCCGUGUUCGAAAGGGAAACAGCCCAGACCACCAGCUAAGGUCCCAAAAUAUAUGUUAAGUGGAAAAGGAUGUGGCGUUGCCCAGACAACUAGGAUGUUGGCUUAGAAGCAGCCAUCAUUUAAAGAGUGCGUAAUAGCUCACUAGUCGAGUGACACUGCGCCGAAAAUGUACCGGGGCUAAACAUAUUACCGAAGCUGUGGAUUGUCCUUUGGACAAUGGUAGGAGAGCGUUCUAAGGGCGUUGAAGCAUGAUCGUAAGGACAUGUGGAGCGCUUAGAAGUGAGAAUGCCGGUGUGAGUAGCGAAAGACGGGUGAGAAUCCCGUCCACCGAUUGACUAAGGUUUCCAGAGGAAGGCUCGUCCGCUCUGGGUUAGUCGGGUCCUAAGCUGAGGCCGACAGGCGUAGGCGAUGGAUAACAGGUUGAUAUUCCUGUACCACCUAUAAUCGUUUUAAUCGAUGGGGGGACGCAGUAGGAUAGGCGAAGCGUGCGAUUGGAUUGCACGUCUAAGCAGUAAGGCUGAGUAUUAGGCAAAUCCGGUACUCGUUAAGGCUGAGCUGUGAUGGGGAGAAGACAUUGUGUCUUCGAGUCGUUGAUUUCACACUGCCGAGAAAAGCCUCUAGAUAGAAAAUAGGUGCCCGUACCGCAAACCGACACAGGUAGUCAAGAUGAGAAUUCUAAGGUGAGCGAGCGAACUCUCGUUAAGGAACUCGGCAAAAUGACCCCGUAACUUCGGGAGAAGGGGUGCUCUUUAGGGUUAACGCCCAGAAGAGCCGCAGUGAAUAGGCCCAAGCGACUGUUUAUCAAAAACACAGGUCUCUGCUAAACCGUAAGGUGAUGUAUAGGGGCUGACGCCUGCCCGGUGCUGGAAGGUUAAGAGGAGUGGUUAGCUUCUGCGAAGCUACGAAUCGAAGCCCCAGUAAACGGCGGCCGUAACUAUAACGGUCCUAAGGUAGCGAAAUUCCUUGUCGGGUAAGUUCCGACCCGCACGAAAGGCGUAACGAUUUGGGCACUGUCUCAACGAGAGACUCGGUGAAAUCAUAGUACCUGUGAAGAUGCAGGUUACCCGCGACAGGACGGAAAGACCCCGUGGAGCUUUACUGUAGCCUGAUAUUGAAAUUCGGCACAGCUUGUACAGGAUAGGUAGGAGCCUUUGAAACGUGAGCGCUAGCUUACGUGGAGGCGCUGGUGGG